CAGCCUCUGUGGGCAGUAGGUGGAUUUGGAAUGGAUAGGCAAUUAAUCAUGGAGAUGAAUGAGAUGCAGGUAGGUGGAUUUGGAACAGAUGGUUGUGCAGCCAGAAGAUGGGAUAGGAUACAUGUUGAUAAAAUGGGAUGCAGGUUAACAGAUGAGUUUAGAUGCAGGUAGUAAGUUUAAAUGCAGGUAGAUGUGAUGCAGAGGUAGAUGAGAUGGGAUGCAGGUAGAUAAGAUGGGAUGCAGGUAGAUAAGAUGGGAUGCAGGUAGAUGGCAUGCAGAGGUAGAUGAGAUGGGAUGCAGGUAGAUAAGAUGGCAUGCAGAGGUAGAUGAGAUGGGAUGCAGGUAGAUAAGAUGGCAUGCAGAGGUAGAUGAGAUGGGAUGCAGGUAGAUAAGAUGGCAUGCAGGUAGAUGGGAUGCAGAGGUAGAUAAGAUGGGAUGCAGGUAGAUAAGAUGGGAUGCAGGUAGAUAAUAUUGGAUGCAGGUAGAUGAGAUGGGAUGCAGGUAGAUAAGAUUGGAUGCAGAGGUAGAUAAGAUGGGAUGCAGGUAGAUGAGAUGGGAUGCAGGUAGAUAAGAUGGGAUGCAGGUAGAUGGCAUGCAGAGGUAGAUGAGAUGGGAUGCAGGUAGAUAAGAUGGGAUGCAGGUAGAUGAGAUGGGAUGCAGGUAGAUGAGAUGGGAUGCAGGUAGAUGGGAUGCAGAGGUAGAUGAGAUGGGAUGCAGGUAGAUGAGCAGGUAGAUAUGAUGGGAUGCAGGUAGAUGAGAUGGGAUGCAGGUAGAUAAGAUGGGAUGCAGAGGUAGAUGAGAUGGGAUGCAGGUAGAUGGGAUGCAGAGGUAGAUGAGAUGGGAUGCAGAUAGAUAAGAUGGGAUGCAGGUAGAUAAGAUGGGAUGCAGGUAAAUGGGAUGCAGAGGUAGAUGAGAUGGGAUGCAGGUAGAUGGCAUGCAGAGGUAGAUGAGAUGGGAUGCAGGUAGAUGAGAUGGGAUGCAGGUAGAUAUGAUGGGAUGCAGGUAGAUGAGAUGGGAUGCAGGUAGAUAAGAUGGGAUGCAGGUAGAUGAGCAGGUAGAUAUGAUGGGAUGCAGGUAGAUGAGAUGGGAUGCAGGUAAAUGGGAUGCAGAGGUAAUUGAGAUGGGAUGCAGGUAGAUGGGAUGGGAUGCAGGUAGAUAUGAUGGGAUGCAGGUAGAUGGGAUGCAGAGGUAGAUGUGAUGGCAUGCAUGGGGAAUGAGGUUGGAUGCAGGUAGAUGUGAGUGAUGGGAUACAGGUAGAUGUGAUGAUAUUGAAUACAGGUAGAUAUGAGAUUAGAUACAGGUACAUGUGAUGAGAUUGGAUACAGGUGGAUGUGAUGAGGUCGGAUGCAGGGGUGGAUGAUGUGUGAUGAAGGGGUGGAUGAGAUGCGGGUAGAUUGGGAAGGGAAAGUUGGAAAGAGGUGUGUGGCAAGAUGGUAUCCAGGGGUGUAUAUAAUGAGAUGAGAAAUAGGUAGAUAGAUUGGGAAGGGCACAUAUGCAGAUAGAACACGAGCAGUGAUGUAUGGGAUAUCUACUUUCAAGAUAGAUAACACAAAAGUCACCUCUGCAGAUUAUGUUGUUGGAUCCGGUUUAGUCAAUCCUCCACAAAGUGUCUUUUUGUCUUUU